GACGAACGCUGGCGGCGUGCUUAACACAUGCAAGUCGAACGGAAAGGCCCUGCGUUUGUGGGGUGCUCGAGUGGCGAACGGGGGAGUAUCACGUGAGUAACCUGCCCUUGUCUUUGUGAUAACUUCAGGAAACUGGGGCUAAUACAGGAGAGGAGCUACUGCUGCGUGGUGGGGGUUGGAAAGUUUCGGCGGUUGGGGAUGGACUGGCGGCUUAUAAGCUGGAUGGGGGGGUAGUGGCUUACCAAGGCUUUGACGGGUAGGCGGCCUGGGAGGGUGACCGGCCACAUUGGGCCUGAGAUACGGACCAGACUCCUACGGUAGGCAGCAGUGGGGAAUAUUGCACAACGGGCGCAAGCCUGAUGCAGCAACGCCGCGUGCGGGAUGCCGGCCUUCGGGUUGUAAACCGCUUUCGCCUGUGACGAAGCGUGCGUGACGGUACUGGGUAAAGAAGCACCGGCUAACUACGUG
rnacentral:rRNA from 1 species